CCAAAUAUUUUAAUUCCCUCCGAAACCAAAAACAGGAAAGGAAAUACGAGCAAAUAAUUGAUUCAUCUCCUCCUCACUACUAUUAGUCUAUUACUUAGAAACAAAACUCAAAUCUUAUUAUUUUAGAAUCAAAAUCCUAGCCCCAACCCUAGCUCAAUUUCGGAAUUUUCCCAAUUUGACGACAUUGACUCGCGUGUUGCAUUCCUUUCUCUGCCAUCAUGGUGUUCUUCAUUGCUCUGCUCGCGUCGUGUUCUGCUUGUGUCAUGUGCUUCUUCUCGCAUCGUGUGUUCUGCUCUGCUCUGCCAUGUUCGAUCUUUGGCUCAUGCCAUUCUGAAAUAUUCGUUUUGCUCCGCACCGGGGUGUCGUUCACAUCUUCCUCUCAAGUCUUUCAGGCAUGCAAAAAUUUCUCUCAAAUUUUACUUACUAGUGAUUUAAUUUGGUUGAAUUGUUGAAAUAAGAAAAUUACUCUAACCGUGUUCAAUUAGAAACCCUAACCCCAACCACUGUGAAUUUUGAUUGAUGUCCGAUUUACUCUUCUCUCUUCCCGUUCCUUGUCACUGCUUGCGAUUUACUCUUCUCUAUUCGAUUUCCUCGUCAUUGCCUGUGUUCUUCAUUGCUGGCGUCGCUGUUGAUGUCUUCAUCGUGUUCGUCGUUGCUCGCCUCGCAUCGCCUCGCCGUUGGCUUCAUCCCUGCUCGCGUCGCCAUCUGUUCAUCGCUACUCGUAUUUGAAGCUUCUGAUUUUUGGUCUUCUCGCUUCAAAUUUUCUCGUCGCCUUCUGCUCUCGGCGUCUUCUUGGCUCCUGGCUGGGUGCUGAUCUGCUCUGCUCCACCGUGGUGCAUCACAGGUGUUGGAGUUGGCUGGAAAUUCUUUCAGUUCAACUGAGUUAGCGCUAAGUUUUUCGCCAUAUGCUUUCAAUUACGUUCACUUAUUUUUUUCUACUUCUCUCUUUGCAAAUUUUGUAGGUUUGCUUUCAUAGCUACAAUAUUUGGGGAAUUUUUAGAAGCUUUGUUUUGGCUACAGCUGCCUCAAGCGCUUAAACAUUUGAUGGAUUUUGUGUGCAAUAGCUAUUUCAAUGACAAAUUUGUUUUAUUUUGAUAUGCUUAAGUAUGCAUUACAAGUAGAAAUCCACUCUAUAAACUAGUUUUCACAUUGAAUUUCUGUAUACUCUGUUUCUCCAUGCUCGGUGUUUCAGUUUAUCGGUGUUUCUCCGUGCUCAUUUCAUCCUAGGCAUGCAUUCAUUCAACGCCUUUCUUUUUGUUGUCUCUUAUCAAACUUCAUAAUUCUAGUUAAUUAAUUAAUUAUUGUUUUUUCACUUCUCAAUGUUCAGGAAGUAUGAAGAAAUUAACCUUAAAUGUGCAGGAAUUCUGCUACAUCACUGAAGAUACAUACAUGAAAUCAUAGUGUACAAAAUUGAUCCAGAGGAUUUAUUUAAAUUGAUCCAGAAGAAACUGGUGGAGAAGAUGCCCAUUUUAUAUGUUCACAGGAACAUGCAAUUGGUGUGGCUGAUGGUGUUGGUGGUUGGGCAGAUAGUGGUGUUAAUGUUGGAUUUUACUCUCGUGAACUCAUGUCCCAUUCGGUAGAUGCUAUUCAGGAGGAGCCUAAAGGUUCAAUUGACCCUGCUAGGGUGCUGGAGAAAGCACACUCAAUUACAAAAGCUAUGGGUUCCUCUACAGCAUGCAUCAUUGCACUUACUGACCAGGUCUUAAUGCUAUUAAUUUGGGAGAUAGCGGGUUUAUGGUGAUCCGUGAUGGGUGCACUGCAAACAUCAGUUACUAAGGUGGUGUGAUAAAGGGAUAAAAAAUGUUUGAACCAGAUUUAUGAAGUUGGAAAGUAUGUGGAGAGCCUAAAGUUCAAGUAUCCUUAUUGGGUGCUGAUAACUUUUUUGUGACUUGCCAUGCUGAAUAAUGACUAUAAGAAAAUUAGACCUCUUGAUCACUAGUGGUUUAAAUGGAUAUGUACUAUGCCAAGAAUAUGCCACUGGAGAUUUUGCCCAGAUAUAAUUAUCAUGGUAUGUCCAAGGAACAAGCUACUAGGAUUUGGAAAAAAAUAUAUCCAAGUCAAUUGAUAAAACUUGAAACAAAUAUAUUUAGCUUUUUUAUUUUGAGGCCAUGUAUUUCAUUUAGAGGUUUAGAGGUCUUAUUUAAUUAUCUUUCCAUGUUUUGAUGUUUUCAUAUUGAAUUAGAGAUUGUUACAUAAUAAUGUAUUUGAAAUAUUUUAACUUGAUAAUAUAUAUCCAAGUAGAAUAAGUUGAGAUUGUCUCUUUUUUUA